rnacentral:rRNA from 1 species
GACGAACCGUGCGAACGUUGUUCGGAAUCACUGGGCUUAAAGGGCGCGUAGGCGGGCAUUCAAGUCGGUGGUGAAAUCCUCCAGCUUAACUGGAGAAGAGCUGUCGAUACUGGAUGUCUCGAGGGGUGCAGGGGUCUGCGGAACUUCGGGUGGAGCGGUGAAAUUCGUAGAUAUUCGCAAGAACACCAGUGGCGAAGGCGGCUUACUGGACCGGUUCUGACGCUGAGGCGCGAAAGCGUGGGGAGCAAACAGGG